ACAAUCGAUUCAUAAAGGAGAAAAAAGAGAAUUGUAAUCGAGUUUAGAAGAAAGAGAAGGAGGGUGCGACUUUGGGUGACUGUGUUUGUCGAUUGGAUUUUGAGAAGUGAAGGGGGGUUCCGAUUUCUAGUGUGAAACCCUUGUCGUCGAUCUAACCUUGUUGGUGUUUCAAGGUUCGGUUUUUUCGAUCUAACCCUUGCUGGAGCUUCCUAUUAAAGCAAGCCCUAGCACCAACCAAAAUCGAAACUUGAACAGAAGGAUUAAGGCUUGAAUCUAAUAAGAUACCUUGUAUUGUUGAGGAAUCGACUUUGCUUAAGCAUGAAUUAAAAGAAAUUAGGGGUAAACGAGGCUUGAUAUGUUCGAUUAGGAGUUAAAUUGGGUUGCAAACUAAUCUUGGAAGAAGCUAAGUUGAAAACUGAUCUUGCCCCUACAGCAGAUUCAUAACCAUCAUUGGUAUCAGAGGUGGCACCUACAGAACCUGUUCCAUAAUCAAACUUUGAGAUCUGGGUUAAAUACACACACUGAAAAGGAACUCAGAAUCACAUUCAAAGAAGAUGAAAAUGGUGUGUUCUGAACAGAAAAGAAAAAUGGUUACUAAUAUCGAUGGAGGAAUAAGGAAGAACGAAUGGA
rnacentral:lncRNA from 1 species